AUGCUUAACACAUGCAAGUCGCACGGAUCUUUCGGGAUUAGUGGCGGACGGGUGAGUAACGCGUAGGGAUCUAUCCAUGGGUGGGGGACAACUCCGGGAAACUGGAGCUAAUACCGCAUGAUACCUGAGGGUCAAAGGCGCAAGUCGCCUGUGGAGGAACCUGCGUUCGAUUAGCUAGUUGGUGGGGUAAAGGCCUACCAAGGCGAUGAUCGAUAGCUGGUUUGAGAGGAUGAUCAGCCACACUGGGACUGAGACACGGCCCAGACUCCUACGGGAGGCAGCAGUGGGGAAUAUUGGACAAUGGGCGAAAGCCUGAUCCAGCAAUGCCGCGUGUGUGAAGAAGGUCUUCGGAUUGUAAAGCACUUUCGACGGGGACGAUGAUGACGGUACCCGUAGAAGAAGCCCCGGCUAACUUCGUGCCAGCAGCCGCGGUAAUACGAAGGGGGCUAGCGUUGCUCGGAAUGACUGGGCGUAAAGGGCGCGUAGGCGGUUGAUGCAGUCAGAUGUGAAAUCCCCGGGCUUAACCUGGGAACUGCAUUUGAGACGCAUUGACUAGAGUUCGAGAGAGGGUUGUGGAAUUCCCAGUGUAGAGGUGAAAUUCGUAGAUAUUGGGAAGAACACCGGUUGGCAAAGGCGGCAACCUGGGUCGAUACUGACGCUGAGGCGCCAAAGCGUGGGGAGCAA
rnacentral:rRNA from 1 species